rnacentral:rRNA from 1 species
CGAACGAACCCUUCGGGGUUAGUGGCGCACGGGUGCGUAACGCGUGGGAACCUGCCUUUAGGUUCGGAAUAACAGUUAGAAAUGACUGCUGAUACCGGAUAAUGUCUUCGGACCAAAGAUUUAUCGCCUUUAGAUGGGCCCGCGUAGGAUUAGGUAGUUGGUGGGGUAAAGGCCUACCAAGCCGACGAUCCUUAGCUGGUCUGAGAGGAUGAUCAGCCACACUGGGACUGAGACACGGCCCAG